UACGUAGGGCGCAAGCGUUAUCCGGAAUUAUUGGGCGUAAAGAGCUCGUAGGCGGUUUGUCGCGUCUGCUGUGAAAGACCGGGGCUCAACUCCGGUUCUGCAGUGGGUACGGGCAGACUAGAGUGCAGUAGGGGAGACUGGAAUUCCUGGUGUAGCGGUGAAAUGCGCAGAUAUCAGGAGGAACACCGAUGGCGAAGGCAGGUCUCUGGGCCACUACUGACGCUGAGAAGCGAAAGCAUGGGGAGCGAACAGG
rnacentral:rRNA from 1 species